UCACAUGAAAUGCACCCGGAUCCGGAACACAUUUUAUUCAAUAUUUUUGAAUUUGGAUUUGGGUCACAUGAAAUGCACACCCGAAUUUAGGAAGAUAAAAUUAUUAAAUAACGUGCCUAAGGCGACUAACGCAUUGUUAACUUUGCGGAGGCCAUGAAAAUUUGCUUAAUGACACGUCCUGAAUUCUAAAGAUUUUAAAAAUAUAUUAAAAGGGCCACGCAAUUUGUGAUUUUAUUUGGUGCAGCACACUUCAAAUUAUUUUAAAGGCCACCCUGAAGGAAUUAUUAUUUUCUAUUAGGUAUUGUCUCUAAAAGGCCUAAUUAAUUGGCAUUGUUAAUUAGUGUUAUUAAAAGCAUUCAAGAAAUUCGGGCCUCAAGCUCGAGUCCACACUUGAACAAGACUAAAACCUCUUACUUAACUUGGAAAGCCCAAAAUUAUAUGGCGAAUUAAACCAAUGACUUCGAAUAUGACUUCAGGCCUCUAACAUUUGGGCUUCGACUUCAGCCCAAAAAAUAGCCAGAUUGUCCAGCUUUAGAUGCAAUUUGAGAUGUAAAAUGGGCUACAAUUGGAGCAGAGCUCGAAGAUGUAUACUAAAAAUGGCACUAGUCAUGAUUGGCCUCAUCUGGCCCGAUUCUUAUGACCGAAUUAAACCAUGGUCCAAAACACAGUACCAAAACAUACGAUCUCAUGGAAUAGGAAGGCCAAUUAACAGACCCAGGUGCUGAUUUCAUCAUUUUACCUAAUUAACUAACUAAAAUUAUUUUAGCAUGCAUCUCCGAUUCAAAUUUGUUAUGGCUAAAUAAGGGACACAAUGUCCUAAUUAUUCGAAUAAGAGAACUGCUGAACCUGACUAACGAAAGAGAAUUUAAAUUUGUAAAUUACUAACCAUUGUUAUUACUUUCAAAUAACCUAUUAUGUUAUGCAACACUUGACUUUCAUAACGGAAUCUUCUAACAAUAAAACAUGUAGAACCUUCAGUUGUGAGUUUUGUCAAACUAUGCAUUCAUUACUUGAAUCAUAGCUCUCCAACUAUGUUCAUGCCUCACAACUAUGACUUCAAAACAACUGAGAACUGCAAAAAUUUCUAAACUAUACUAGAUCUGGAACACUGGGGCAAAUGUGAGCAAUUUAAGUUUUCUUUUUACAGUCCAAUUGUUGCAAGUAAUGCAAUGCCUUAAGUAAAUACAACUAUACUAGGCAUUUAAGCUAAGGUAAAGUAAUGGAAGAUUCACAAUAACAGGUUGCACUUCAUCAUUCAUUCCAAUUUGAUAGUACAUUUGACUCAAAUUUCAUAUGUCAUUUGGGGCUGAAAGAGUACCUGGAAAUUUACACAAAAUGAAGUGAAAUCAAGGUCAGUUAGGCACACAACAACACACAGCAACAAUCAGAUCGAUUUUAGAGUCCAAACAAUAGUGUCAAGCAGCCCAGGAGUUGAUGUCAGAUAGCAAAACAUUGAACAAUCAAAAGAAGUUUGAAUGACUCAAUAUUGACUUAAAAUAAACCUCAGGGACCCCCUAAACCCUUGAUUACCAAAAUCACAAGAAGACUUAAGCCAUUUCUAUCCCUAGAUAAGUUGAGUCUUUGGUUUUGGACUUUUGAAGCUCGAAAUCACUCUAAGGUGCAAUGAAACAAUGAUUUUGUUUCAAUUAUAUUGCCUGAAGUUCAGUGCCUAUUUGUUAGGUAUUUUAUGACUCUCCCCCACUUUUAAAAUCUCUCCAAAACUGCUGAAACAAGGCAGGGAUAUGCCUUUUAUAGGCAAGACCUAAGGCAACUUUCAGAUUUUCAGUUACAUCCUAGGUCACUCUUUUAAUUUUAUUUCUUGCUUAGUUAGUCCCUCAGUUUAUACCUUGUUGCCCAAGUUAGACCACUAAAUCUCUGAUAUUCUAAUUAGAACCCUAUCUUGAAAGUUCUAGGGGUUUCCAAUUUCAGUUAUUUGCAGGAUUCCUUUUAUUAAAUUACCUCUAUUGCGCUUAAUUGAACUCUGAAUUACUAACCUAGUUGAACCUAGUCCAAGUUCUUUUACCUUGGUCAACUAACAUUGAUUAAUUAUCCAGGGGCUGGAAUCAAAUAGCUAUAACCAAACAAAUCCUAAAAAUUAAACAUUCUAAUUAAUCAUGGAAAUUAAAUCUAGUAGCCAGUGAACGAACAAAUAAUGGCAAUUAAACUUGAAACUAAAUUCAAAUUAACAACUAGAAUCAUUCAAUCGAUGCCAAAUACAAAAUCAAACUAACUGAAUACAACAAAAUAGAACAAAAUUAAACAAAAUUGAAAACUACAAUAGAGCAGGAUCAACAGAACAAAAAUCAAUCAAAACCGUAAAAUUUUUAAAUUAAUUUACAUCAUUUGAAAGAAACCUUACUGGUUUAGGUCUUCUAGUUGGCUGUAAUAUGUGAAAAUCAGAAACCUAAAUUGAAAAACUCUAAUUCAACCAAAAAGAAAACAUGCAAAGGAAUGAACAAAUGAAACAUUCAAAUAGAAAGCAAAAACAGAUUAAGAAAG
rnacentral:lncRNA from 1 species